GGAGGCGGGCCAGCAACAGAGCUCUUAGAGAUAACAGUGAUGAGGAUGCUGAAAAGAAGUCAGCAAGAUAGGAAACGAGGGGAUUCGGAGGUCACUGGAGCCCAGACUGAGCAGGAAAUGGAGGGAGGAACCGAGUGUCAGAAGCAGUUGAUAGAUUCAUUGAUUUUUGUUUCUUUUUUAAGAUAAAACUUCCUCCAAUGAUAUCUACAGCUUCGUCUCCAUUGCUUUGCAUCUUAAACCCCCAAUCUGUGUUGCUGGCGAGUACUAGUUGGGCUUUACAUGAAAAGGACACGCUGUUCUCUUCAAUAUCAACAGCAAAAUCUUCAGCGUUCCUUUUAAUUUCCAGCCAUGCAAAGGAGUUUUCAGACAUGACAACAGGAAGAUUAAUGUUACUGAUUGCUUCCUCUGAUGAAGCCUGAAACACAAGGAAGAAG
rnacentral:lncRNA from 1 species